UACAGAGGUCUCGAGCGUUGUUCGGAUUCAUUGGGCGUAAAGGGUGCGUAGGUGGCGCUGUAAGUCGGGUGUGAAAUCCUGGGGCUUAACUCCGAAACUGCAUUCGAUACUGCCGUGCUUGAGGACUGGAGAGGAGACUGGAAUUUACGGUGUAGCAGUGAAAUGCGUAGAGAUCGUAAGGAAGACCAGUGGCGAAGGCGGGUCUCUGGACAGUUCCUGACACUGAGGCACGAAGGCCAGGGGAGCAAACGGG
rnacentral:rRNA from 1 species